rnacentral:snRNA from 1 species
UUACUCUGGAUUCUCUUCAUCGUAUGAUUCUUUCGCCUUUUACUAAAGAAUUCCGUGGAGGGUAGCAUUUCAAUGAGUUUUAAGAUAUUUUUCUGCAACCGACGUCGGUC